AACGCACCUUGCGCUCCCGGCAGAUCUAAUCUGGGGAGCAUGCCUGUUUGAGGGCCGCGAAUUGUUUCGAACGACAGCUUUCUUAUUUAGUUGAGAAAGCUGGCGGAUCGGUAUUGAGGGUCUUGCCAUCUUCCACGGUGGCUCCCUCGAAAUGCAUUAGCGCAUCCAUUCGAUAGGCAAGACGGACGAAAGCUCGUUAUUUCGCCCACGUCUUUCCCUGCCGGGUUUUGAUAAUACCAGGACUUCGGAGAGGAGAGGCGCAGGGUCGAGGAGCUGGACGCGACGUUUUGCUGGUUGGAGUGCUUCUGAACCCCGCCCAUGCCUCCCCUUCUUCGGAAGGAGAGGAAGGGAUCUAAUUUCAAUUCAUCGGCCUCAGAUUGGUAGGACUACCCGCUGAACUUAA
rnacentral:misc_RNA from 1 species